UACGAAGGGGGCUAGCGUUGUUCGGAAUCACUGGGCGUAAAGCGCACGUAGGCGGAUCUUUAAGUCAGGGGUGAAAUCCCAGAGCUCAACUCUGGAACUGCCUUUGAUACUGGAGAUCUCGAGUCCGGAAGAGGUAAGUGGAACUGCGAGUGUAGAGGUGAAAUUCGUAGAUAUUCGCAAGAACACCAGUGGCGAAGGCGGCUUACUGGUCCGGUACUGACGCUGAGGUGCGAAAGCGUGGGGAGCAAACAGG
rnacentral:rRNA from 1 species